rnacentral:rRNA from 1 species
CCAAUAGCGUAUAUUAAAGUUGUUGCAGUUAAAAAGCUCGUAGUUGAAUUUUGGAUUCUGCCAGUUGGUCCAUCUUUUGAUGAGUACUGAUUGUGUGGGGUCUAUCCGCCUGGUGAUACGUAAUGUACUUUAUUGUAUGUUACGGGUAAUCAGGACCUUUACCUUGAAAAAAUUAGAGUGUUUAAAGCAGGCUUAUGCCGGAAUACAUUAGCAUGGAAUAAUAGAAUAGGACGAUGUUGUUUUAUUUUGUUGGUUUCUAGGACAACCGUAAUGAUUAAUAGGGAUAGUUGGGGGCAUUAGUAUUCAAUUGUCAGAGGUGAAAUUCUUGGAUUUAUUGAAGACUAACUACUGCGAAAGCAUUUGCCAAGGAUGUUUUCAUUAAUCAAGAACGAAAGUUAGGGGAUCGAAGACGAUCAGAUACCGUCGUAGUCUUAACCAUAAACUAUGCCGACUAGGGAUCGGGCGAUGUUGUUUCCAUGACUCGCUCGGCACCUUAUG